rnacentral:rRNA from 1 species
UACGGGGGGGGCAAGCGUUGUUCGGAAUUACUGGGCGUAAAGGGCUCGUAGGCGGCCAACUAAGUCGGAUGUGAAAUCCCCAGGCUCAACUUGGGAACUGCAUCCGAUACUGGAUGGCUUGAAUCCGGGAGAGGGAUGCAGAAUUCCAGGUGUAGCGGUGAAAUGCGUAGAUAUCUGGAGGAAUACCGGUGGCGAAGGCGGCAUCCUGGACCGACAUUGACGCUGAACGGCGAAAGCUAGGGGAGCAAACGGG